UACGUAGGGGGCAAGCGUUGUCCGGAAUCAUUGGGCGUAAAGCGCGUGUAGGCGGCUCGAUAAGUCUGCUGUGAAAGUCCAGGGCUCAACCCUGGGAUGCCGGUGGAUACUGUCGAGCUCGAGUCCGGAAGAGGCGAGUGGAAUUCCUGGUGUAGCGGUGAAAUGCGCAGAUAUCAGGAGGAACACCAAUGGCGAAGGCAGCUCGCUGGGACGUGACUGACGCUGAGACGUGAAAGCGUGGGGAGCAAACAGG
rnacentral:rRNA from 1 species